AUUGAACGCUGGCGGCAUGCUUUACACAUGCAAGUCGAACGGUAACAGGCCGCAAGGUGCUGACGAGUGGCGAACGGGUGAGUAAUGCAUCGGAACGUGCCCAGUCGUGGGGGAUAACGCAGCGAAAGUUGCGCUAAUACCGCAUACGAUCUAUGGAUGAAAGCGGGGGACCGUAAGGCCUCGCGCGAUUGGAGCGGCCGAUGUCAGAUUAGGUAGUUGGUGGGGUAAAGGCUCACCAAGCCGACGAUCUGUAGCUGGUCUGAGAGGACGACCAGCCACACUCGGACUGAGACACGGCCCAGACUCCUACGGGAGGCAGCAGUGGGGAAUUUUGGACAAUGGGCGCAAGCCUGAUCCAGCAAUGCCGCGUGCAGGAAGAAGGCCUUCGGGUUGUAAACUGCUUUUGUACGGUACGAAACGGUCCUGGUUAAUACCUGGGGCUAAUGACGGUACCGUAAGAAUAAGCACCGGCUAACUACGUGCCAGCCGCCGCCGUAACAC
rnacentral:rRNA from 1 species